AUGCCAAACGGUUGUUGUCAACGAUUCCCCUCAAAGGGGUGUUUUGAUCGUAAACUUAGGGGGUUCGAGGAGGACACGAUGACAAAGUUCAUCGUUUGGACGAAAGACAAAGCUUUUGGUGUGGACGACCCCAAACCCUUAUCUAAAAAAAUUAAGUGGAAACUCCAGUAUGUUCCUUUUGACGGGAUUCCCUUCAUGGUGGUUGGGAGGAGGGUCUACUCCUGUCACCAAGGGGUAGACAAGCACAAACAUGAAAAACUGACAAGACAGCUACAACUGAUACCUGAUGACAUUCAUAAACAGAGGAAGGAGAGCGCUGGGUGUCUGAGACAUGCCUUAACAAAAAACCCAUCAGCAGUGAAGCUUGAGGAGCAAUAUGUUGCCUGCUUCCCAGCGAUCGAGGAGCACCAAAACCAUCCUGUGGUAGGAGAGGUUCGUGAGCCAGUGGACACUAGCAGCACCCCUCCCAGUGACCACAUCAUUCUUCACAAAGACACCAGCAAUCCUCCCAGAAACUCCAGCAAGACAAAGAAAAGGCAAAGGUGUGAGAGCUUACUGCGUGAAAUUUCAGAUCUCACUUACCAUCUACAGGAUGAGCCAUUUCUGGACUCCUUGACCUUUCGACUGAAUGACCUUUUGGAGGAUGUGAGGCGUCAUACCCCUCACGAUGACACCCUUCCCUUGUCUUACACACCUCCAUCUAAAAAAAACAGAUACCUCAAAACCCUCAGCAUAAUCCCCGAAAAACAUCCAUCCUCUGGAAAGUUUGGCCAUUGUGCUGAAGCAGUGAAAGCAAGCUCCAAGCCUUAA
ensembl:lncRNA